rnacentral:rRNA from 1 species
UGAGUAACGCGUGGGUAAGCUACCUCCAAGUUGGGGAUAANCCCGGGAAACCCGGGGCUAAUACCGAAUGUGGUCUUUCUGGNGCAUGGCAGGAUGACUGAAGGNGGGGAUCCCUUCNGGANCUGUNGCUUUGAGAGGNANCCCGCGUGNCAUUAGNUUGUUGGUAGGGUAAUGGCCCUACCAAGGNUUACGGCUAGNCGGGCCUGAGAGGGUGACCGGNCACACUGGGACUGAGACACUGGCCCAGAACUCCUACGGGAGGCUGNAGUCGAGGAUCAUUCGCAAUGCGCGAAAGCGUGACCAUGACACGCUGCGUGGAGGAUGACGGCCUUCGGGUUGUAAACUCCUGUCAUGAGGGAAAAGCAACCCCUACUCCUAACANGGGUAGGGUUCCGAUGGUACCUCAGGAGGAAKCCACGGCUAACUCUGUGCCAGCAGCCGGCGGUAAUACAGAGGUGGCGAGCGUUGUUCCSAUUUACUGGGCGUAAARGGGUGCGUAGGUGGUUUUGUAUGUCGGGUGUGAAAUCCCAUGGCUCAACUGUGGAAUUGCAUUCGAAACUGCGGAACUAGAGUGACAGGAGGGGAGAGCGGAAUUCUUGGUGUAGCGGUGAAAUGCGUUGAUAUCAAGAAGAACACCGGUGGCGAAGGCGGCUCUCUGGACUGAUACUGACACUGAGGCACGAAAGCUGGGGGAGCAAACAGGAUUAGAUACCCUGGUAGUCCCAGCCGUAAACGGUGCACACUUGGUGUGGGGAGAUUUAACCCUCUCCGUGCCGGAGYCUAACGCGUUAAGUGUGGCCCCCUGGGGAGUACGGCCGCAAGGCUAAAACUCAAAGAAAUUGACGGGGGCCCGCACAAGCGGUGGAGCAUGUGGUUUAAUUCGACGCAACGCGAAGAACCUUACCUGGAUUUGACAUCCCGGAAAGUCCCUUGAAAGAGGGAUGUGCCCUUCGGGGAACCCSGUGACAGGUGCUGCAUGGCUGUCGUCAGCUCGUGUCGUGAAAUGUUGGGUUAAGUCCSGCAACGAGCGCAACCCCUAUCUUUAGUUACCAUCAUUAAGUUGGGGACUCUAAAGAUACUGCCCCGGUUAACGGGGGAGGAAGGUGGGGAUGACGUCAAGUCCUCAUGGCCUUUAUGUCCAGGGCUACACACGUGCUACAAUGGGGCUAUACAAAGGGGUCGCAACCCCGCGGAGGGGUG